UGGGGAAUAUUGGACAAUGGGGGCAACCCUGAUCCAGCAAUACCGCGUGUGUGAAGAAGGCCUGAGGGUUGUAAAGCACUUUCANNUGCGAAGANAANCUANUGGUUAAUACCCACUGGCCUUGACGUUAACUUUAGAAGAAGCACCGGCUAACUCCGUG
rnacentral:rRNA from 1 species